AAUCCAUAGGUUAAUGAGGCGAACCGGGGGAACUGAAACAUCUAAGUACCCCGAGGAAAAGAAAUCAACCGAGAUUCCCCCAGUAGCGGCGAGCGAACGGGGAGGAGCCCAGAGCCUGAAUCAGCAUGUGUGUUAGUGGAAGCGUCUGGAAAGGCGCGCGAUACAGGGUGACAGCCCCGUACACAAAAGCGCAUGUGCUGUGAGCUCGAUGAGUAGGGCGGGACACGUGGUAUCCUGUCUGAAUAUGGGGGGACCAUCCUCCAAGGCUAAAUACUCCUGACUGACCGAUAGUGAACCAGUACCGUGAGGGAAAGGCGAAAAGAACCCCGGCGAGGGGAGUGAAAAAGAACCUGAAACCGUGUACGUACAAGCAGUGGGAGCCUCUUUUAUGGGGUGACUGCGUACCUUUUGUAUAAUGGGUCAGCGACUUAUAUUCUGUAGCAAGGUUAACCGUAUAGGGGAGCCGGAGGGAAACCGAGUCUUAACCGGGCGUUAAGUUGCAGGGUAUAGACCCGAAACCCGGUGAUCUAGCCAUGGGCAGGUUGAAGGUUGGGUAACACUAACUGGAGGACCGAACCGACUAAUGUUGAAAAAUUAGCGGAUGACCUGUGGCUGGGGGUGAAAGGCCAAUCAAACCGGGAGAUAGCUGGUUCUCCCCGAAAGCUAUUUAGGUAGCGCCUCGUGAAUUCAUCUCCGGGGGUAGAGCACUGUUUCGGCUAGGGGGCCAUCCCGGCUUACCAACCCGAUGCAAACUGCGAAUACCGGAGAAUGUUAUCACGGGAGACACACGGCGGGUGCUAACGUCCGUCGUGAAGAGGGAAACAACCCAGACCGCCAGCUAAGGUCCCAAAGUCAUGGUUAAGUGGGAAACGAUGUGGGAAGGCCCAGACAGCCAGGAUGUUGGCUUAGAAGCAGCCAUCAUUUAAAGAAAGCGUAAUAGCUCACUGGUCGAGUCGGCCUGCGCGGAAGAUGUAACGGGGCUAAACCAUGCACCGAAGCUGCGGCAGCGACGCUGAUGCGUUGUUGGGUAGGGGAGCGUUCUGUAAGCCUGCGAAGGUGGCCUGUGAGGGUUGCUGGAGGUAUCAGAAGUGCGAAUGCUGACAUAAGUAACGAUAAAGCGGGUGAAAAGCCCGCUCGCCGGAAGACCAAGGGUUCCUGUCCAACGUUAAUCGGGGCAGGGUGAGUCGACCCCUAAGGCGAGGCCGAAAGGCGUAGUCGAUGGGAAACGGGUUAAUAUUCCC
rnacentral:rRNA from 1 species